rnacentral:rRNA from 1 species
AGCGAACGCUGGCGGCAGGCCUAACACAUGCAAGUCGAACGAAGCCUUCGGGCUUAGUGGCGGACGGGUGAGUAACACGUGGGAACGUACCUUUUGGUUCGGAACAACUCAGGGAAACUUGAGCUAAUACCGGAUGAGCCCUUAGGGGGAAAGAUUUAUCGCCGAAAGAGCGGCCCGCGUUAGAUUAGCUAGUUGGUGAGGUAAAGGCUCACCAACGCAACGAUCUAUAGCUGGUCUGAGAGGAUGAUCAGCCACACUGGGACUGAGACACGGCCCAGAUUCCUACGGGAGGCAGCAGUGGGGAAUCUUGCGCAAUGGGCGAAGGCCUGACGCAGCCAUGCCGCGUGAAUGAUGAAGGUCUUAGGAGUUUAAAAUUCUUUUACCAGGGACGAUAAUGACGGUACCUGGAGAAAAAGCCCCGGCUAACUUCGUGCCAGCCGCCGCCGUAACAC